rnacentral:sRNA from 1 species
GCAGGUCCACCUGUUGUUUCGAUAAUGGACAAGGUGACGACAGUUUUCAACAGUGCACAAAGACUAGAAGUUGUCAGAAACUGUAUCUCAUUCAUAUUUGAAAAUAAAAUUUUGGAAACUGAAAAGACCCUUCCUGCUGCACUCAGAGCCCUUAAAGGAAAGGCAGCAAGACAGUGUCUCACUGAUGAAUUGGGUUUGCAUGUCCAGCAAAACCGGGCUAUAUUAGACCAUCAACAGUUUGACUACAUAAUAAGGAUGAUGAAUUGUACUCUACAGGUAAUUUGUAGUUCUUUCAGAUUAUUCCUCUUAUUUGAGAAUACUUUUCAUUUUUCCAGAAUAUUUUGUAAUUACCAAUAUAUCAGUUCUUGAGCCUACCACAGCUAACAGGAUGAAGCGUCAAUAUCUGUAUCAUUUCUGUCAAAUGCUUUUUUAUUACUUGGCAUAAAUAUUAAGAGUUUUUGUUCUUUCUUUGUUUUCUCUUUGAAAAUGCUAGAUUAUUUUACUAGUUCUGUAAUAUAAGCAAGUUCUUUGAAAAUGAAAAGUCAUCUUUAAAGCAUUCAGUUAUAUAUUACUUAAUGUCUAUAGUCACAUCAGCCCUUUUCAGUCAGUUUUCAGUUGUCCAAGCAGAGGACAAUGAAUGGUGGAUAAUCCAAAUGAUAAAUGAAUUACUUAAGUAUUUAAGUACUUUGUGUUUGUAAAGCACAACAACAAAAUUUCCACUUGGCUUCAAAAUGUGUGUAUGAUCUUUCAGAAGCAAACUUCCCACAAAACAGUGAAGACAAUUUAGGAGAAGCUAAAAAUCUUGUUUCCUCAUCCUGCCUCCCUUGUUAGAGAGUCUGUGACAUUGGCAUUCUGUUGAGAGGUUAUGUAAAGUUCCUUUCUCAAACAUUUUGCACGAGGUAGAAAUGUAAUUAAAUAUUAAGACUUCAAAGAUCAUCUGUGGGACUCCAGAAAAAGUAAAUAAAUGCAUGUUAAAUAUUGGUACAUUGGAAAGCAAGAAUUAUAGGAUAUAAUUAAUCAAAUUUAUGAAUGAAACAAGGCCUAAAUAAAUGAGAAAAUAUACCAUUUGCAUGGAAUGGAAGACUCAAUAUGUUAAAGAUAUCAAUUCUCCCCAAAACAAUCUACAGAGACAACGCAAUUCCUAUCAGGACCUUAAAUAGAAGAAUAAAAGCCUUAAAAUUACCAAUAUACUCCUAAAGAAAAACAACAAAGCAUAGCAAUUUACCUUGUCAGGUAUCAAAAAUUUAGUUUAAGAUUAUAUUAUUUGGCCAGGCGCAGUGGCUCAUGCCUGUAAUCCCAGCACUUUGGGAGGCCGAGGUGGGCAGACCACAAGGUCAGGAGUUCGAGACCAGCCUGGCCAGCAUGGUGAAACCUCUACUAAAAAUACAAAAAUUAGCCAGGCUUGGUGGCAGGCGCCUGUAAUCCCAGCUCCGCAGGAGGCUGAGGCAGGAGAAUCACUUGAAACCAGAAGGUGGAGGUUGCAGUGAGCUGAGAUCAUGCCACUGCACUCCAGCCUGGGUAAAAGAGCGAAACUCCGUCUCAAAAAAUAACUAUUAUUAUUAUUAUUAUUUAUGACAGUGUAGAAUUGGCACACUCAUAAACAAAUUGACCAACAGAAUAAAAUAGAAAGCCUAGAAACAAAUGCACACAUAUAUGGAAAUAUGAUUUAUGGCAAAAUUGGCACCAGCAGUGAAAAGAUGAUCAGUUCAAUUAAUAGUGCUGGGACAUGUACACAUAACAUAUCAUUGAUACAAAAAAUGCAUAGAUACCUCCCACCACACACAAGAAUCAUUUCGACAUGUAUUAAAGACUUAAAUAUGAAGAGCCAAAAAAAGCUUAUCUAUAAAGCUUAAAAGUUUUCAAACAUAAUACAGAAAAUAUCCUUAUGACUUUGGGGUAAGGAAAGAUUUGUUAAACUAGUCACAGCUAGUGCCAAUGUUAAAAGAAAAGAUUGAUAAAUUUGACUACGUUAAAAUUAAGAACUUCUGUUCAUUAAAAGAUACCAUAAAGAGAGUGAAAACAUAAACCUCAGAGAGAGAGGUUAAUGCUCAGAUUACAAGAACUAUAAGCCAGGCAUGGUGGUGUGCAUCUAUAGUCCCAGCUACUCAGGUAGCUGAGAUAGGAGAACACAUGAGCCCAGGAGUUAGGCUGCAGUACACUGUAAUUGCACCUAUGAAUAGCCACUGAACUCCAGCCUAGACAACUUAUCAAGACCCUGUCUCUUUAAAGAAGAAAAAAGCCCUACAAAUCAAUAUUUUUUCAAAAAGACAACCUAACUUGAAAAUGAGCAAAAGAUUUAAGUAUCUUAAAAGGCAGAGCCGAGAAUGGGAGAAGAGCAGAGUUUCUGAGCAGCACAGUGGCCUCCCCUCCUCUCUCCUUUCCUCACUCUCGCAGCCUACCUUUACCUACCCACCUGCUCAAUGCCCAGAACACCUUCCACCAUGACCAUCUCAGCAAGCUCCCACUUAAACAGAGGCAUCAAACAGGUGUACAUGUCCCUACCUCAGGGUGAGAAAGUCCAGGCCAUGUAUAUCUGAAUCGAUGGUACUGAAGCAAGACUGCGCUGCAAGUGAGCCCAAGUGUGUGGAAGAGUUACCUGAGUAGAAUUUUGAUGGCUCUAGUACUUUGAAGGUUCCAACAGUGACAUGUAUCUCGUGCCUGCUGCCAUGUUUUGGGACCCCUUCCACAAGGACCUCCACAAGCUGGUGUUCUGUGAAGUUUUCAGGUACAAUCGAAAGCCUGCAGAGACCAAUUUGAGGCACACCUGUAAACGGAUUAUGGACAUGGUGAGCAACCAGCACCCCUGGUUUGGCAUGGAGCAGGAAUAUAUAAUCUCAUGGGGACAGACGGGCACCCCUUUGGUUGGCCUUCCAGUGGAUUCCCUGAGCCCCAGGGUCCAUCUUAACUGUAGUAUGGGAGCAGACAAAGCCUAUGGCAGGGACAUUGUGGAGGCUCAUUACCGGGCCUGCUUGUGUUCUGGAGUCAAGAUUGCAGGGACUAAUGCUGAGGUCAUGCCUGCCCAGUGGGAAUUCCAAAUCGGACCCUGUGGAGGAAUCAGCAUGGAAGAUCAUCUCUGGGUGACCUGUUUCAUCUUGCGUCAUGUAUGUGAAGGCUUUGGAGUGAUAGCAACCUUUGAUCCUAAGCCCAUUCCUGGGAACUGGAAUGGUGCAGGCUGCCAUACCAACAUUAGCACCAAGGCCAUGCGGGAGGAGAAUGGUCUGAAGUACAUUGAGGAGGCCAUCAAGAAACUAAGCAAGCGACAGCAGUACCACAUCCGCGUUUACGCCAGGCCUGGCACCUAAUUGGAUUCCAUGAAACUUCCAACAUAACGACUUUUCUGCUCUUAUAGCCCAUCAUAGUGCCAGCAUACACAUUCCCCAAACUGAAAGGAUGGAAUAUGAAGGUCUUUUUAAAUUCCUUAUGCCCAGUUAAUCUUGCUUUCUUUGUUUGGCUGGGAUAAAGGGGUCAAAUUAUUAAUUUCUUCACAUCUUUACCCUCCUUUUAUUUCCCUAUCACUGAAGCUUUUUAGUACAUUAGUGGGGAGGUGGGUGGUGAAACAUAACCACUGCUUCCAUUUAAUGGGGUGUGCCUGUUCAAUAAGCGUAGCUAUCGGAACAGACUGCAUGUUUGAAGGAGGGGGAUUUUUUUCUUUGAGGGACCUGAGAGGGGAAGACCUGACUUAUUCUGGUUAGGUUAGGAUUUCCCUUUGUGGUGGAAAUGUUUCUUAAAAGGUUAUAACCAACUUUCUACUAAAAGUAGUGAUUAGGAGAGAAGGUAGGGGUUGGGGAUCAGGGACGAGAAUGCCCUUGGUCUCCUGCUUGUGUGGGACUAGCCUAGCUUGGGGUGAAAUGCCCUCCUCUGAACACAAAGCUCAGUAUAAACUGAUGGAUAUCCCUACCUUAAAAGAAGAAAAGGUUAUUUUUGCUUGGUCCUCUAUUUAUCACACAAAAACAGAGUAGUAUUUUUAUAUUUAAAUGUAAAAACAAGGGUCGGGUGCAGUUGCUCACUCCUGUAAUCCCAACACUUUGGGAGGCCGAGGCAUGUGGAUCACGAGGUCAGGAGAUUGAGACCAUCCUGGCCAACAUGGCAAAACCCUGACUCUACUAAAAAUACAAAAAAUUAGCCGGCAUGGUGGCAGGCAUCUGUAGUCCCAGCUAUUCGGGAGGCUGAGGCAGGAGAAUUGCUUGAACCCAGGAGGUGGAGGUUGCAGUGAGCCGAGAUCAAGCCACUGCACUACAGCCUGGGUGACAGAGCAAGACUCUGUCUCAAAAAAAAAAAAAAAAAGUAAAAACAAAAAGAUUAUAUAUAUAGUUCUGUGGCUUAUGUGUGUUUUGCUAAGGGAAAAACAACAUAGAGGUCACGGGGUACCAAAUUCAAAGCAAGUAGUCUAGACAGAAAUCAACUAGCCCCUUUUGAGUAAGGAGUGAGGGAAGUGGUGCUUGGAAAGUUGUUGAUUUGCAGUUAGUCCCUCAUGACCACUCUAGGGUUUCUGUGCCCUGCCCACCCUCUGGAGAAGACGAAUACUGGUCAGUUAACAGAUGACAUGUUACUAGCAGUCACUUGAUCCCCAUGGCUUUGGUUUAAAAGACAUAUACUCGUCCACAUUGGUUUAGAGGUAAGAGUUAGCUGGUCAACUUGAGCAUGUUACUGACAGAGGGAAUAUUGGGGUUAUUUUCUGGUGGGAAUAACAUGUCACUAAAGCAGGACUUUUGAUAUAUUAAAUUUUUAAAAAACAAAAUAGAAGUUUAGAUUUUAAUCAAAUCUGUAGAGUUUCCAAGUAAUUUUUACAGAAUUGCUUGUUUGCUUUAACUGUCUCCUUCUGCCUCUGCUCUUGAAGGAUAUGGGGACAGGGCUAGAGUUAAAACACUUGAAAUUUUGUAUCCCAAUGUCUUUUCUCCCAGUGUGAAAUAUUCCAUUCUUUUGUUAAGACUACCGAGGAGUUAUUUUUUUCUUUUGUAAUAAGAAACAAACCCCACCUUUGUCUCUACAUUUCCCCUACCAUUCUCUGACUUUUGUGUAUGCUUCAGGGGGCCAGCUGUGGUUUUCUCUUGCCAUGAUGACUUCUAAUCGCCAUGUACAGUAUGCUCAAAGUCAGACAACUCCUUACUAUAAACAAAUUGUAUAACUGCCCAGAGCAGCUCUUAUAAAUCAGCCUAACAUAAGAUCUCCCAAAAAAAAAAAAAAAAAA